rnacentral:rRNA from 1 species
CCUACGGGAGGCAGCAGUGAGGAAUAUUGGUCAAUGGGCGGGAGCCUGAACCAGCCAAGCCGCGUGAGGGAAGAAGGUACAGCGUAUCGUAAACCUCUUUUGUCAGGGAACAAAGGCGGGGACUAGUCCCCGGAUGCGGGUACCUGAAGAAAAAGCAUCGGCUAACUCCGUGCCAGCAGCCGCGGUAAUACGGAGGAUGCGAGCGUUAUCCGGAUUUAUUGGGUUUAAAGGGUGCGAAGGCGGCCUGUAAGGUCAGCGGUAAAAGCCCGGGGGUCAACCCCGGCGAGCCGUGCAAACUGGCGUGCUUGAGUUGGAGAGAAGUAGGCGGAAUGCGUGGUGUAGCGGUGAAAUGCUUAGAUAUCGCGAAGAACCCCGAUUGCGAAGGCAGCGUACCGGAGCCGAACUGACGCUGAGGCACGAAAGCGUGGGUAUCGAACAGGAUUAGAUACCCGGGUAGUC